AUUGAACGCUGGCGGCAGGCCUAACACAUGCAAGUCGAACGAGUGGCGGACGGGUGAGUAAUGUCUGGGAAACUGCCUGAUGGAGGGGGAUAACUACUGGAAACGGUAGCUAAUACCGCAUACCAUCGGAUGUGCCCCGAUGGGAUUAGCUAGUAGGUGGGGUAAAGGCACACCUAGGCGCCGAUCCCUAGCUGGUCUGAGAGGAUGACCAGGCACACCGGAACUGAUAGAAGGUGCAGACUGCUACGGGAGGCUGCAGUGGGGAAUAUUGCACAAUGGGCGCAAGCCUGGUGCAGCCAUGCCGCGUGUGUGAAGAAGGCCUUCGGGUUGGAAAGCACUUUCAACGAGGAGGCGUUACUCGCAGAAGGAGCACCGGCUAACUCCGUGGCAGCCGCCGCGGUAAUAC
rnacentral:rRNA from 1 species